CCUACGGGAGGCAGCAGUGGGGAAUAUUGCACAAUGGGGGAAACCCUGAUGCAGCGACGCCGCGUGAGUGAAGAAGUACUUCGUUAUGUAAAGCUCUAUCAGCAGGGAAGAAAAUGACGGUACCUGAGUAUGCACCCCCGGCUACUAACGUGCCAGCAGCCGCGGUCAUACGUAGGGGGCAAGCGUUCUCCGGAUUUACUGGGUGUAAAGGGAGCGUAGACGGGAGUGCAAGUCUGGAGUGAAAGGCGGGGGCUCAACCACCGGACUGCUCUGGAAACUGUACGGCUGGAGUGCAGGAGAGGUAAGUGGAAUUCCUAGUGUAGCGGUGAAAUGCGUAGAUAUUAGGAGGAACACCAGUGGCGAAGGCGGCUUACUGGACUGUAACUGACGUUGAGGCUCGAAAGCGUGGGGAGCAAACAGGAUUAGAUACCCCAGUAGUC
rnacentral:rRNA from 1 species